AGAGUUUGAUCAUGGCUCAGAUUGAACGCUGGCGGCAUGCUUUACACAUGCAAGUCGAACGGCAGCGGGGGCUUCGGCCUGCCGGCGAGUGGCGAACGGGUGAGUAAUGCAUCGGAACGUGCCCAUGUCGUGGGGGAUAACGUAUCGAAAGGUACGCUAAUACCGCAUACGUCCUGAGGGAGAAAGCGGGGGAUCGCAAGACCUCGCGCGAUUGGAGCGGCCGAUGUCGGAUUAGCUAGUUGGUGAGGUAAAGGCUCACCAAGGCGACGAUCCGU
rnacentral:rRNA from 1 species